AAAUACCUCCAUGCGGCCUUCUCUUCCCAGUUCUUCCUGGACUCAGGGAAAAGCUGGGUUGAGAAGGUGAAAAGAAAAAAGAA
rnacentral:pre_miRNA from 10 species